rnacentral:tRNA from 1 species
GCCAGUGUGGUGUAGUGGUUUGAAUGUUGGACUAGGAUUCUGGAGACCAGGGUUCAAAUCCUGGCUCAGCCA